GCUUGUUCUGUAAAAAAAUUGAUACAACCAGAAGCUAAAAGUAAUUUGGUAGAUCUAGGACUCACAUUGUUGUCACUGUAAGAAUGUAAAAUGUGAUGAGUAGCUGCUGUCUGAACGUAUUUUGAAAUAAACAGCAAAUGCUCUUUGGCUUAUUUAGAGUUUCAAAAAGCAGUCUUCACAAGUUUUUGAGAAUGUGCAGCCAUUGCCAAUUCUAGACCAUUUCCCCUGCUUAUAAGGAUAUUUUAUAUCUGUUUUUUUUUUUUUGUUUGUUUGUUUGUUUGUUUGUUUGUUUUUUUGUUCUGUCUUUGCAAAUUUGCCCUGACGCAUCUAAAGGCUUUCUCAAUCUUCUUGUAAAAUUCUGGUUCCCUAGGAUUGCAGGCAGACUUUUCCAGCAGCCAGAUCAGAGUUUUUGUUUAAAACACAAAAAUAAGUUCUUACUGCACAGAUUGUUUGCAUUGAAUAGCUUAAUAUGUGUCUUAUAAGUUUGGUACAAAUCAGGCUGAUGUAUGCUUACACGAGGGUGUGUGUUGUUGGGUGAAGCAUACAGCAGACCUGUUACACAUCUGGCAUUCCCCAGAGUUGGUGGAUUGAACCAUGUUGGUGCACAGGGGCAGGGCUGCAACCAAAGCUGCACAGACACAUUGAAUAGUAAAAAAAAAUACUUCAUUGCUUUUCAGAGCUGGAAAACCACUCUGUGAUUUGGCAUGCCAUGUCAUGCAUCCCCCCAGACUCUGGGAAAGGGUGAUUCUCACCUUUCAAGAAGUCAUCACAUCCAGUGGAGGUCUGUGAUGAAGGACAGAGCAGCUGACAGGAGGAAACAAAUAGCACACGUGGCUCAUCUGAAACUCUCUGAUACAUGCAACUUCUGCUUUUUGAAGGAUGUCCUUUUAUGUCUAAUAGCCUCUCUUACUUUGCUGUUUGAGCACACUAACUUUUUUUGGAAGCCCAUUUAAAAUCAUUUUUGACAGGUAAUAUAGUUGUGCUCUGAGCUUUUACUGUGGUGUUGUUAAAGAAUCUCUAUGUUACUCUAUAUGUAAAAAGAAAGCUUUAAAAUAUACAAAUAUUUUUAAAAAUAGCUGAUUCUUUUUAAUUUAUUUGUAAAUAGCUUCUUCAUUUUUACACCAUUUUUCUAUUUCAACUUAAGCAAGCUAACAUUUCUAGUUAAAGCUCUCAUGGGUUUCUUUUUGGGCUUCUCUUCAGCUUUCUUCACCUUUCUUACAAGGAAUUUUCUACAGAACAAUACCUAUUUCAGAGCAUUUCUUGUAUAUGUUCAUCUUAAAUCUUGAGCCAAUUCAGGAAUUGUUUCCUCUAGUGAGUUUUAUCAUUAGCUCCUCCUAAAAGCAACGUUGUUUUUUUUUUUUUUUUUUGCAUCACUUAACGUUCUCUACCAAGCAUGAUAUAUAGCUAAAUUAUAUUAUAUUCAGGCUUAAAUAAAAUAUUUCAUUAUUACUGUGUUUUGUGUAGU
rnacentral:lncRNA from 1 species